UGCCCUAGUAACGGCGAGUGAAGCGGCAAGAGCUCAAAUUUGAAAUCUGGCCCUCUCAGGGCCCGAGUUGUAAUUUGUAGAGGGCGCUUUGGCGUUGGCCCCGGCCUAAGUUCCUUGGAACAGGACGUCACAGAGGGUGAGAACCCCGUACGUGGCCGCCGGCCUCCGCCGUGUAAAGCCCCUUCGACGAGUCGAGUUGUUUGGGAAUGCAGCUCUAAAUGGGAGGUAAAUUUCUUCUAAAGCUAAAUACUGGCCAGAGACCGAUAGCGCACAAGUAGAGUGAUCGAAAGAUGAAAAGCACUUUGGAAAGAGAGUCAAAAAGCACGUGAAAUUGUUGAAAGGGAAGCGCUUGCAGCCAGACUUGCCUGUAGUUGUUCAUCCGUGCCACUGGCACGGUGCACUCUUCUGCGGGCAGGCCAGCAUCAGUCCGGGCGGUCGGAUAAAGGUCUCGGGAAUGUAGCUCCCCUCGGGGAGUGUUAUAGCCCGGGGUGCCAUGCGACCAGCCUGGACUGAGGUCCGCGCAUCUGCUAGGAUGCUGGCGUAAUGGCUGUAAGCGGCCCGUCUUGAAACACGGACCAAGGAGUCUAACAUCUAUGCGAGUGUUUGGGUGUCAAGCCCGGGCGCGCAAUGAAAGUGAACGGAGGUGGGAACCCCUCGGGGCGCACCAUCGACCGAUCCUGAUGUCUUCGGAUGGAUUUGAGUAAGAGCAUAGCUGUUGGGACCCGAAAGAUGGUGAACUAUGCCUGAAUAGGGUGAAGCCAGAGGAAACUCUGGUGGAGGCUCGCAGCGGUUCUGACGUGCAAAUCGAUCGUCAAAUUUGG
rnacentral:rRNA from 1 species